UCAGAACUCCAAGUCUCUGUUCGUUUAGACCUGGUUACAAAAGGAUCACGUGUGAUCAAUAUUAAAACCAUUCCAGGUGGGAAAUUCGGUGGAUCGCAGCUGUCCAGCCUGUAGUGUUGUUGGUGUUAAGCCUUCAACGUUGCAGGUUUAAGUUAUGCGUGCUUUCGGGUACGUCAUAAUUACAAGCGAAUCAGGCAGCGGUUAACGCAUGCUUGAUUAUUCUUCGUGAGAAGGUUGUUUCUAGUGGAACUUCAGCUUGGUUUAGUCGUUGUUAUAAGAAAUCAAGUCCUUCGGGACAUGGGAGGGACAACGGACGGACAGUUUAGCUUGACCUCUUCAUAGAGGCAAGGCCUAGUUGAGUGCAAUGCAGAGAGUCUGCAACACCGAUUUAUCGGUUUGCAGGUAACACAAUACCGAUUACUUGGUGUCUGA
rnacentral:RNase_P_RNA from 2 species